GACGAACGCUGGCGGCGUGCCUAAUACAUGCAAGUAGAACGCAGUUGCGAACGGGUGAGUGACGCGUAGGUAACUUCCUCAUAGCAGGGGAUAACUAUUUGAAACGGUAGCUAAUACCGCAUACUGUGAGAUGGACCUGCGUUGUAUUAGCUAGUUGGUUAGGUAAAGGCUCACCAAGGCGACGAUACAUAGCCGACCUGAGAGGGUUGUCGGCCACACUGGGACUGAGGACCGGCCCCGGAUCCUUAGGGAGGCAGCAGUAGGGGAUAUUCGGCAAUGGAGGGAAGUCUGAACGAGCACAGGCGCGUGAUAGAAGAAGGUUUUCGGAUCUGAAAGGUCUGUUGUUAGAGAAGCGGUAACUAACCAGAAAGGGACGGCUAACUACGUGCCAGCAGCCGCGGUAAUAC
rnacentral:rRNA from 1 species